ACUCCUGCCCCGAGAAGAGGCUCAGCACAGAAGGAGGAAGGACAGCAGCACAGCUGACAUCUGUGCUCAGAAAGAUUCUGGAUCCCAGGCUCAUCUCCACAGAGGAGAACACACAGGCAGAACAGGACAUGGGGCCCCUCUCAGCACCUCCCUGCACACUGCACAUCACCUGGAAGGAGCUUCUACUCACAGCAUCACUUUUAAUCUUCUGGAACCCACCCACCACUGCCCAAGUCACGAUUGAAGCCCGGCCAACCAAAGUUUCUGAGGGCAAGGAUGUUCUGCUACUUGUCCACAAUUUGCCCCAGAAUGUUACUGGCUACGUCUGGUACAAAGAGCAAAUAAUGGACCUCUACCAUUACAUUACAGCAUAUAUAAUAGACACUGAAAUGAUUAUAUUUGGGCCUGCAUACAGUGGACGAGAAACUGUAUAUUCCAAUGCAUCCCUGCUGAUCCAGAAUGUCACCCAGAAUGACACAGGAUCCUACACCAUUCAAAUCACACAGCGAGGUGAUGGGAUUAAAGGAGUAACUGGACAUUUCACCUUAUACCUGGAGACUCCCAAGCCCUCCAUCUCCAGCAGCAACUUAAACCCCAGGGAGGCCAUGGAGACUGUGAUCUUAUCCUGUGAUCCUGACACUCAGGACGCAAGCUACCUGUGGUGGAUAAAGGGUCAGAGCCUCCCUAUCAGUCGCAAGUUGCAGCUCUCUGAAAACAACAGGACCCUCACUCUAUUUGGUGUCACAAAGGAUACUGCAGGACCCUAUCAAUGUGAAAUGAAGAAACCAUGGAGUUCCAGUCGCAGUGACCCAGUCACCCUGAAUCUCCUCCAUGGUCCACACAUCCCCAGCAUUUUCUCUCCAUUCCCCUUUCUCCGUUUCUACCGUCCGGGAGAAAACCUCUACUUGUCCUGCUUCGCGGACUCUAACCCACCGGCAGAGUAUUCUUGGACAAUUAAUGGGAAGUUUCUGCAAUCAGGACAAGAGCUCUCUAUCCGCCAAAUUACUACAAAGCAUGGUGGAAUCUAUGGUUGCUUCGCUCGUAACUCAGCCACUGGCAGCAAAAGUUCCGCAUUCAAGACGAUCAAAGUCUCUGGUAAGUGGAUCCCUGCAUCACUGGCAAUAGGGUUUUUAGGUGGAAUCUACCUGCUUUUCAGAGAAGAACCAGGAAAACAUUUUAAUUCCCAGCCUGUGUCCCAUUGGCAGAAGCAAAUCCUAAAUUCUCCUCCUGAACCCUCCCAAUUUGUCUCUACGGACUCUCUUCUCCUUGUUUUUCUGUUUUCUCAUGGCUGACUUUGUGUCCAGCCUGAGAAAGAUAGGGAGGGGGCUUUGUCAGCCCUAA